rnacentral:lncRNA from 10 species
UUUCAAGCACUUAGAAGUGGCUCGUGGAACUUUUGCUCUCAUUUUAUUGAUCAAAGCCAAUCACACGGCCAUUCCUGAAUUCAUGAAGGUGGUUAUACAUAAUCAUCCCACAGGAAGGAGCACCACAAGGAGAGGCACCUCAGAGGGGGACAGUGGACUUUUGACCAGUUAUAUAUUCCACCUCAGCAGGUGUUAUUCUAUUUUUCAGAUUAGGAAAUGAUUUCAGGAAAGUAAAGUAACCUGUUUAAUUCACAAGCAAAAGGUAAUAAAUGGUAAAAACCAGGAAUGGAAUUCAGGCCAGCUUAGCUACAAAGAUCCGACCUCUAGUUCAUCUGACUCCCAGUGCUACCCCGCUGAGUCUUUUAAUGUUGUUUUGUGUGCAUCAGAGCCCUGUGAUGUCUUUGGACUUCAGAUUAUUUUGGCAAAGAGAAGCCUCUGUUCUGACCCUAAUUGUUAUAACCAACACCAUCAAUGACAGAGCCAGUCUCUGAAAGUGACCCUUUGCAUUUGACCCUUUCUUCUUGCUUAGCUUAAUUCCUUGUCUGUUUCAAAAGAAGAAAAGGUUCUUAGCUUUCCAGAGCAGAACAAAUAGCUCAUGGUGAAUACACAAAAACUGUGUGACCCAGAAAGUACAAAAUCUUCAUCCAGGGCAUCAGCCUGUUGUUGAGAAACAAGCGUGGGGAAAUGGGCUAGGUGGCACCACUCCAGAAAGCCAGCUGGGACUGAAAGAGUGAGGUAAGACAGGAGCCUGUGCUCCUCCACUGCAUUUCUGAAGGAUUGUAAUAGAAGUUAGCAUGAGGGCUGUGAAAUAGGUCAUGGGGUGAGAUGACAAGGACAGAGGGGUAGUGGCGGAGA